GGGAGUUUAGCUCAGCUGGGAGAGCAUCUGCCUUACAAGCAGGGGGUCACAGGUUCGAUCCCUGUAACUCCCACCA
rnacentral:tRNA from 2 species